rnacentral:ribozyme from 1 species
GGAAUGAAUAUAUUGGAUACUGGUAAAAAGAAAAAAGGAAAGUGGGCUCUGUGUGUUUUGCCCCCCCCCCCCCCCCCCUUUUUUUUUUUUUUUUUUUUAAGUAUUUUAU